rnacentral:rRNA from 1 species
GAUGAACGCUGGCGGCGUGCUUAACACAUGCAAGUCGAACGGAAAGGCCCUGCUCUUGUUCGGUUCUCGAUUGGCGAACGGGUGAGUAACACGUGAGUAACCUGCCCUUGACUUUGGGAUAACUUCAGGAAACUGGGGCUAAUACCCGGUAGGAGCUCCUGCUGCAUGGGGUGGGUUGGAAAGUUUCGGCGGUUGGGGAUGGACUCGCGGCUUAUCAGCUUGUUGGUUGGGUAGUGGCUUACCAAGUUUUUGACGGGUAGCCGGCCUGAGAGGGUGACCGGCCACAAUGGGACUGCGAGAGGGAGCAGUAUGCAACGGGACGCAAUGGGCGAGAAUCUUGCGCAGUGGGGGGGAGUCAGAUGCGGAAGCGUCGGGUGCGUGAUGCCCGGCUUCGGGUUGUAAACAAAUUUCGCAUGUACCGAAGCGUGAGUGACGGUAAUGGGUCAAAAAGCAACGGCUAACUACGUG